rnacentral:rRNA from 1 species
GACAGAGGGUGCAAACGUUGCUCGGAAUCACUGGGCGUAAAGGGCGUGUAGGCGGGAAGGAAAGCCAGAUGUGAAAUCCCUGGGCUCAACCCAGGAACUGCAUUUGAAACUCCCUUUCUUGAGUACCGGAGAGGAAGGUGGAAUACCUGGUGUAGAGGUGAAAUUCGUAGAUAUCAGGUGGAACACCAGUGGCGAAGGCGGCCUUCUGGACGGUAACUGACGCUGAGACGCGAAAGCGUGGGGAGCAAACAGG